UUCUUCAGUUCAUGGGAUUUUAUUUCAGGAGAAUUCAAACAUUCAUGUAUUGGAGAAGAUGACACAUUUCUUGAAUGUCUUUGGCUUUGAGCUGAAUGCACUAACUAGAAGGGACUUCAGAUUGUCCUCCUUAGGGGGAGGUAACUAUAUUCUUCAUAUACAGGUAAGAGUGAAAUGAUAGAAGAAUGUUCCUCCUCUCCUUUUCUUCCUGGACAACAGAUCAAAUAUUUCUCAGAUCUUUUACAGUUGAAUUGGAGUCACAUGGACAGGUAUGAUCUUAAAAUAUAAAAAAUUAUUUUAAAAUUACAUGCUAAAAUUUUAUAAAAAUAAAUGCUAAAACUAACUCAAAUGGAAGCAUUUGAUUAAAAAAUUUAUCCAAAAAAGUUUGAAUUUUAUAUGAAACAGGAUAGAAGAUGAAAAAGCUAAAGAAACAAAAUACAAAGAAAUUAUGGCUGGGGACAGUGGCUCACACCUGUAAUCCCAGCACUUUGGGAGGCUGAGGUGGGAGGAUUGAUUGAGGCUACGAGUUUGAGACCUGUUAUUUGGAGGCACAUGGGAAGGAAAGUUUUCUUUGAGAUAUUCCACAUUUUAUAAUAUUCUUCAAGAGAUUUACAGAGUCCCUUGAGUGAAUUGUUGGUUUGUUCUUAGUACUGAAUUUCCUAUUCAAAUUUAUUUAGAAGUUCAUUUCUUACAGUGAUCUCAUCUCCUAUUAAGAUAUUCUUCAAGGUAGGUUCUUGGCCAGUUUCUCAAUGACAGAUUUUUAAAAAUAUUGUUAAUCUUUUUAUUAAUAUGAGAACAUAAUUGUUCCAGAUCUGGAGGCCAUCCUUUAAGCUUCUUGCAACAGUCUGGGAGCAAAGAGUCUACUCGCCACUGGGUAGUGGGCCAUGGACACCCCAGUCUCCACCAGAAGUUCGGGAUUGCAAAAUGGGACUCUGGCAGCAAAUUUCAAACUGUAUGCCAGACCUGGCCCUUUGCAGCGAUAUAAAAUUUUUCUUGAGGUGUCUGGAAAGAUGGCUGAAUAGGAACAGCUCCGCUCUGCAGCUCCCAGCGAGAUCAACGCAGAAGGAGAUAAUUUCUGCAUUUCCAACUAAGGUACCCAGCUUAUCUCAUUGGGACUGGUUAGACAGUGGGUGCAGCCCACAGAAGGCAAGCAGAAGCAGGGUGGGGUGUCACCUCACCCGGGAAGCACAAGGGGUCAGAGAACUCCCUCCCCUAGCCAAGGGAAGCCGUGAGGGACUGUGCCGUGAGGAACGGGGCAUUCCGGCACAGAUACUAUGCUUUCCCCAUGGUCUUUGCAACCCACAGACCAGGAGAUUCCCUUGGGUGCCUACACCACCAGGGCCCUGGGUUUUAAGCAAAAAACUGGGCUGCCAUUUGGGUAGACACUGAGCUAGCAGCAGGAGUUUUUUUCAUACCCUAGUAGCCCCUAGAAUGCCAGCGAGACAGAACUGUUCACUCCCCUGGAAAGGGGCACUGAAGCCAGGAAGCCAAGUGUUCUAGCUCAGUAGAUCCCACCCCUACGGAGCCCAGCAAGCUGAGACCCACUGGGUUGAAAUUCUCGCUGCCAGCACAGCAGUCUGAUGUCCACCUGGAAUGCUUGAGCUUGGUGCAGGGAGGGGCGUCUGCCAUUACUGAGGCUUGAUUAGGCAGUUUCCCCCUCACAGUGUAAACAAAGCUAUUGGGAAGUUUGAACUGGGUGGAGCCCACUGCAGCUCAGCAAAGUUGCUGUAGCAAGAGUGUCUCUCUAGAUUCCUCCUCUCUGAGCAGGACAUCUCUGAAACAAAGACAGCAGCCCCAGUCAGGGACUUAUAGAUAAAACUCCCAUCUCCCUGGGACAGAGCACCUGAGGGAAGGGGCAGCUGUGGGCACAGCUUCAGGACACUUAAACGUUCCUGCCUGCUGGCUCUGAAGAAAGCAGCAGAUCUCCCAGCACAGUGAUCGAGUUCUGCUAAGGGACAGACUGCCUCCUCAAGUGGGUCCCUGACCCCUGUGCCUCUGGAGUGGGAGAGACCUUCCAGCAGGGGUCGACAGACAUCUGGUUGGUGCCCCUCUGAGAUGAAGCUUCCAGAGGAAGGAACAGGCAGCAAUCUGUGCUGUUCUGUGGCCUGCGCUGGUGAUACCCAGGUAAACAGGAUCUGGAGUGGAUCUCCAGCAAACUCCAGCAGACCUGCAGCAGAGGGGCCUGACUGUUAGAAGGAAAACUAACACACAGAAAGGAAUAGCAUCAACAUCAACAAAAAGGACAUCCACACAAAAACCCCAUCUGAAGGUCACCAGCAUCAAAGACCAAAGGUGGAUAAAUCCACGAAGAUGAGGAAAAACCAGCGCAAAAAGGCUGAAAAUUCCAAAAACCAGAACACCUUUUCUCCUGCAAAGGAUCACAACUCCUUGCCAGCAGGAGAACAAAACCAGAUGGAGAAUGAGUUUGACGAAUUUACAGAAGGAGGCUUCAGAAGGUGGGUAAUAACAAACUCCUCUGAGCUAAAGGAGCAUGUUCUAGCCCAAUGCAAGGAAGCUAAAAAUGAAAAAAGGCUGUAGGAAUUGCUAACUAGAAUAACCACUUUAGAGAAGAACAUAAAUGAUCUGAUGGAGCUGAAAAACACAGCACGAGAACUUCGUGAAGCAUACAGAAGUAUCAAUAGCUGAAUCGAUCAAGCAGAAGAAAGGAUAUCAGAGAUUGAAGAUCAACUUAAUGACAUAAAGUGUGAAGUCAAGAUUAGAG
rnacentral:lncRNA from 1 species